GCUGAGUUUCUCAGUUGGUAGAGCAUGAGACUAAAUCUGAGGGCUGUGGGUUUGAGCCCCACAUUGGGCA